AAGGAAUAUUGCUCAAUGGGAGAAAUCCUGAAGCAGCAACGCCGCGUGGAGGAUGAAGGGUCUAUGACUUGUAAACUCCUGUAAAGAAGGAAAAAAUUCCCAUUUGAUGGGAGAUGAUGGUACUUCUGGAGUAAGCCCCGGCUAACUACGUGCCAGCAGCCGCGGUAAUACGUAGGGGGCAAGCGUUGUCCGGAUUUACUGGGUGUAAAGGGUGCUCAGGCGGAUUUGUAAGUCAGAGGUGAAAUCUUACAGCUUAACUGUGAAACUGCCUUUGAUACUGCAAGCCUAGAGUAUGGAAGAGAGUGAUGGAAUAUCUGGUGUAGCAGUGAAAUGCGUAGAUAUCGGACAGAACACCAAUGGCGAAGGCAGUCACUUGGUCCAUUACUGACGCUAAAGCACGAAAGCGUGGGUAGCAAACA
rnacentral:rRNA from 1 species